GGACUACUCGGGUAUCUAAUCCUGUUUGCUCCCCACGCUUUCGCGCCUUAGCGUCAGUAUCGAGCCAGAAAGUCGCCUUCGCCACUGGUGUUCCUACGAAUAUCUACGAAUUUCACCUCUACACUCGUAAUUCCACUUUCCUCUCUCGAUCUCUAGUCUCACAGUCUCAAAUGCAGUUCCCAGGUUAAGCCCGGGGCUUUCACAUCUGACUUGUAAAACCGCCUACGCGCCCUUUACGCCCAGUAAUUCCGAACAACGCUAGCUCCCUUCGUAUUACCGCGGCUGCUGGCAC
rnacentral:rRNA from 1 species